GAAAUCAUCACUUGGCUUCUAGGUCAAGGGAUCAGAAUGCUGUAUUGUUGGCCAGAUUGUGCACUAGCAGAAUCUAGCGCAGCUAGCUGGGAUACUGUGUGACUUUCUGGACAGGGAUUCAUUUCUCUGAACUUCACUUCUGCCUAUUGUCCAGUGUAACUAGUAGGUUGUGUUCUGCAGAAAGAAUCCAGGGGGUUAAAAGCCCACUGGCAUCAUCUUGUCCUAUGCGUUUGGUGAAUGUCUACUCAUCUCUGAACCCCACGAGGAGCCUUCAUUUAAAUUUCCAUUUUAUAGAUGAGGAAACUUAGAUACCGAGGACUGAAGCCACUUGUCCCAGGCCAUCCCAUUGACAUUUAACAUCGCCAUUUAAGGAAAGGGUCUGGCUGCCUGCCUGCCCUUGAGCUGUCUCCCCAACAUAGCUGUGGAUCCUCCAGAAUGAGCCAUCUCUGAGACUGGGAUUCCCAGGAGCUAUGGAGUCAGUCCUGGAACUCACUCUGACCAAGCUGGCCUUGACUUCAUAGAAAUCCUCUUGCCUCUGCCUCCUGAGUGAUCAGAUUAAAGGUGUGUGCCAACACUCAGCUUUCAGUGCAAGCUCUGGGGAUGUGCAAUGGAUGCUUAUGCUUGCACAGUAAAUAUUGGUAUCAACGAGCCAUCACUUUAAAUCAAUAAAUCACUUUUAAUUAAAAAAUUUAGUUUAAGAAUUCCUAGUAUUAGAAUCUGGGACUGCCACUCACAUAUUUUUUUUUAAUCUCAGUUUCUUCCUCAAUCAAAUGGUUAUUUCAGCAUGUUUCCUCAUUAUUGUGUAUGGUCCCAAUGCCACUCAGUGCUUUUUCAGUAUACAUUAGAAUGCUGG